rnacentral:rRNA from 1 species
UACAGAGGUCUCAAGCGUUGUUCGGAUUCAUUGGGCGUAAAGGGUGUGUAGGUGGCGCCGUAAGUCGGGUGUGAAAUUUCGGAGCUUAACUCCGAAACUGCAUUCGAUACUGCCGUGCUUGAGGACUGGAGAGGAGACUGGAAUUUACGGUGUAGCGGUGAAAUGCGUAGAUAUCGUAAGGAAGACCAGUGGCGAAGGCGGGUCUCUGGACAGUUCCUGACGCUGAGGCACGAAGGCCAGGGGGAGCAAACGGG